CUUUUCUAUACGAUUCCUGCCCAUUUCCUUUGUGGUUAAUAUUGUCUUUGCUUCGUGUCUGUUUUCGUUAUGCACAUCAUCUCCCGACGCCACUCGUUGUCAGUUCAUUCCCGCCUCAACGUACAGCGGAACGCCCCAGCAUACUUUUGCCCAAAAUAUUUCUCUUUUUUUUUUUGUUCUCUAUUUGGCCGCGAUCUCUUUAAGUUUUCAGCAUCGCACAAAACCUCUUAAAAAUUUUACUUUUCAACGCUGUUAUGCUGCAGUUUUUGCAGUUGU